rnacentral:rRNA from 1 species
GAUGAACGCUGGCGGCGUGCCUAAUACAUGCAAGUCGAGCGAACGGACGAGAAGCUUGCUUUUCUGAUGUUAGCGGCGGACGGGUGAGUAACACGUGGAUAACCUACCUAUAAGACUGGGAUAACUUCGGGAAACCGGAGCUAAUACCGGAUAAUAUUUUGAACCGCAUGGUUCAAAAGUGAAAGACGGUCUUGCUGUCACUUAUAGAUGGAUCCGCGCUGCAUUAGCUAGUUGGUAAGGUAACGGCUUACCAAGGCAACGAUGCAUAGCCGACCUGAGAGGGUGAUCGGCCACACUGGAACUGAGACACGGUCCAGACUCCUACGGGAGGCAGCAGUAGGGAAUCUUCCGCAAUGGGCGGAAGCCUGACGGAGCAACGCCGCGUGAGUGAUGAAGGUCUUCGGAUUGUAAAACUCUGUUAUUAGGGAAGAACAUAUGUGUAAGUAACUGUGCACAUCUUGACGGUACCUAAUCAGAAAGCCACGGCUAACUACGUG